rnacentral:lncRNA from 1 species
UGUGUUAUAAAUGGUUUGCCGGUGAUAUCUUAAGAUGUUUCCAUACUAAUGAUGCGACACCCUACAUUGUAAUAUAUUUGUAUCUUUGGAUGCCUCCUUUGUCAGUUAAUUAAGCAUAAUAUAAUACUUCUUCAGUACUGUAUCCCCAACACUAUUAUCUAUCAUUGCUUGCUUCAAACUUGCUAGAAAGCUUUGUUCUAUCAUCGAUGCAUAAAAUAAUAAUAUCAUUUGUACAUCUUGUUGUAAUGUCCCUCUCAGUACUGAUUAAUUAAUUGGCC